rnacentral:rRNA from 1 species
GAUGAACGCUAGCGAUAGGCUUAACACAUGCAAGUCGAGGGGCAGCAUGGUCUUAGCUUGCUAAGACUGAUGGCGACCGGCGCACGGGUGCGUAACGCGUAUGCAACUUGCCUCACAGAGGGGGAUAACCCGUCGAAAGACGGACUAAUACCGCGUACACUCCAUCUUGGGCAUCCAAGGUAGAGGAAAUGAAAUUCGCUGUUAGAUAGGCAUGCGUCCCAUUAGCUAGUUGGUGAGGUAACGGCUCACCAAGGCGACGAGGGGUAGGGGAACUGAGAGGAUGAUCGGCCAAAAGGGAAGGGAGAAACGGUCCAGACUCCUACGGGAGGCAGCAGUGGGGAAUUGUGGACAAGGGGGGAAACCUUGAUCCAGCAAUGCCGCGUGUGUGAAGAAGGCAGUAGGGUUGUAAAGCUCUUUUAUUAGGGAAGAAAAAAUAUGUGUGAAUAAGGGCAGAUACUGAAGGUACCGAAAGAAUAAGCAACGGCUAACUACGUG